UACGGGGGGGGCAAGCGUUGUUCGGAAUUACUGGGCGUAAAGGGCUCGUAGGUGGCCAACUAAGUCAGACGUGAAAUCCCUCAGCUUAACUGGGGAACUGCGUCUGAUACUGGAUGGCUUGAGAUUGGGAGAGGGAUGCGGAAUUCCAGGUGUAGCGGUGAAAUGCGUAGAUAUCAGGAGGAACACCCGUGGCGAAAGCGGCUCUCUGGGACGGUACUGACGCUGAGACGCGAAAGCGUGGGGAGCAAACGGG
rnacentral:rRNA from 1 species